rnacentral:rRNA from 1 species
UACAGAGGGUGCGAGCGUUGUUCGGAAUUAUUGGGCGUAAAGGGCGCGUAGGCGGUGCGGUAAGUCACCUGUGAAAUCUCCUGGCUUAACUGGGAGCCUGCAGGCGAAACUACCGUGCUGGAGUGUGGGAGAGGUGCGUGGAAUUCCCGGUGUAGCGGUGAAAUGCGUAGAUAUCGAGAGGAACACCGGUGGCGAAGGCGGCUAUCUGGACAGAAACUGACGCUGAGACGCGAAAGCGUGGGGAGCAAACAGG